CUCUCGAGUUGGGAUGUGGGAGGGUGUCCCAGAGGCUGGCCCCAUCCCCCAGUUUUAGGAUUGGUUGGGGUUCGUGGGGAGAAUCCCUAUUGGAGAAAGGGGGAUCCCGAUUCAUCACUUUGCGGGUCUCCUAGCCCCCUCCCUUGUUUCCUUUCACACAGCGGUGCCUCCUCCCCGAGACUCUGAAGGUCUUCAGCUCACAGCUUUCAAGAAAGCCCCGGUCCUGGUCAUGCAGGUGCAAGAGCAGACCAACAAAGAAACCAGCAGCAAGAAAAAGCCCCAGUGAUGACUCUAAACAAAUCUGACAAUAAUGGAAGUUUCCUACAAACUUUUUGAGGCCCCCUUAUAUACCUAUCUCACAACUUUUGCCUGCUCAGUUAUUUACAGGUUUAAGCCUUAUUGACAGCAAUUACAAGAAUCUGUUUGCAAGCUAACAUUCCAUGAUCCUUGUAGUUUUUCCACCACCCCGACCCUCCACCCCCCACUUUCUGCAUACUGACCCUAGUAACCACUAAUAAACUUUGAUAUCUAUA